rnacentral:lncRNA from 1 species
GUUUUUAAUAAACAACUUUUCUGCCUUCUACUGAGUGAUCUUUGAGUAAUCAUUUUGGUCUCUUAGCAGGUUCCAGCACACCCCUGUUUCCAUGGAACUAGAAGAUUACAUCUUCUAUAUUUGUGGUAUCC